rnacentral:rRNA from 1 species
UGGGGAAUAUUGCACAAUGGAGGGAACUCUGAUGCAGCGACGCCGCGUGAACGAAGAAGGCUUUCGAGUCGUAAAGUUCUUUUAUAUGGGAAGAUAAUGACGGUACCAUAAGAAAAAGCCCCGGCUAACUACGUGCCAGCAGCCGCGGUAAUACGUAGGGGGCUAGCGUUGUCCGGAAUCACUGGGCGUGAAGGGUUCGCAGGCGGAAAUGCAAGUCAGGUGUAAAAGGCAGUAGCUUAACUACUGUAAGCAUUUGAAACUGCAUAUCUUGAGAAGAGUAGAGGUAAGUGGAAUUUUUAGUGUAGCGGUGAAAUGCGUAGAUAUUAAAAAGAAUACCGGUGGCGAAGGCGACUUACUGGGCUCAUUCUGACGCUGAGGAACGAAAGCGUGGGUAGCAAACAGG